GUGGGGAAUCUUGCGCAAUGGGCGAAAGCCUGACGCAGCCAUGCCGCGUGAAUGAUGAAGGUCUUAGGAUUGUAAAAUUCUUUCACCGGGGACGAUAAUGACGGUACCCGGAGAAGAAGCUCCGGCUAACUUCGUGCCAGCAGCCGCGGUAAUACGAAGGGGGCUAGCGUUGCUCGGAAUUACUGGGCGUAAAGGGCGCGUAGGCGGACAGCUUAGUCAGAGGUGAAAGCCCAGGGCUCAACCUUGAAUUGCCUUUGAUACUGGCUGUCUUGAGUUUGGGAGAGGUGAGUGGAACUCCGAGUGUAGAGGUGAAAUUCGUAGAUAUUCGGAAGAACACCAGUGGCGAAGGCGACUCACUGGCCCAAUACUGACGCUGAGGCGCGAAAGCGUGGGGAGCAAACAGGAUUAGAAACCCGUGUAGUCC
rnacentral:rRNA from 1 species